UUUAUGGAAAACAUCGACAUCGCC
rnacentral:siRNA from 1 species